UUAAACCAUUUUUGGAAACCCUCUCCGUCUCCUCAUGUGCUUUAGAUUCCCCUCCAUUUUGAGCUGCUCUCUGCCGCGUCUUGAGGAUAUCAGGGAAGAAACAGAUGGACCCAGUUUUCUCACUCUUAAAUUUCCAUUUUCUCUCUCAUCCUUCUCACCAUCUCUGCUAAUGCCUGUCCUUGUGCUCCAAGACCUCCAUGACCGUUUCUCUAGCGCCUUCAGGCCAUGGGAACGCUCGCUCCAGUUCUGGUUCAGAGCUUCUCAUAUCUACACUAGUUACAAGUUUUGUCAACUUCGAUCGAGGUUCGUGAAAGAUAGAGAGAAAGAGGAGAUAUUGUGGGAGAGGCAGCAUGAAUUCGCGGCUGAGAAGAUAUAUGCAAUGUGUUCUGAACUUGGGGGUUUUUUCUUAAAGGUUGCUCAGAUAGUGGGGAAGCCAGACCUUGCCCCAGCUGCUUGGGUGAAAAGAUUGGUCACACUUUAUGAUAAAGCUCCUUCUACGCCUUUCGAUGUUGUCCAGUUAGUCCUAGAGCAAGAGUUAGGUUCUAGCCUUGACAAAAUUUUCGAGAGAUUUGACAAAGACCCUAUUGGUUCUGCAUCCAUAGCUCAGGUACACAAAGCAAGGAUUAGAGGUGCAAAGGAUGAUGUUGCAGUCAAGGUGCAACAUCCUGGAGUUCAGCAUUUAAUGAUGACAGAUAUUCGUAAUUUGAGGGCAUUUGCUUUGUAUUUGCAAAACACAGAUAUAAAUUUCGAUAUUGUCUCAAUAACUACUGAGAUAGAGAAACAGGUUGGUUAUGAAUUUGACUUUCAAAGAGAGGCUGAGAAUAUGGAUAAAAUCUCAUGUUUUCUAAGAAAUAAUAGCAAAAAGCCUCCUGUUCGAGUGCCACGAGUCAUUCCGCACAUGGUGACGAGGAAAGUUUUGAUUAUGGAGUUCAUUGAUGGAAUCCCCAUUUUGUGUCUUGGAGAUGAAAUAGCGAAACGAGGCAUAGAUUCUAGUGGGAAGAUGGCAACAGCAGCUAAGAAGAACAUAUUACAAAAAUUGUCUUUAGCAUAUGGCCAAAUGAUAUUGAAGAGUGGUUUUUUCCAUGCAGAUCCACAUCCUGGAAAUAUCCUAAUCUAUAAAAACUCUGAGGUUGCUCUCCUGGACUAUGGCCAAGUAAAGCAUCUUUCGGACAACUUAAGGCUUGGAUAUGCUAAGCUCAUUAAGGCCAUUGUUCAUAGUGAUACUUCCAUGAUAAUGCAGAGCUUCGAGGAGCUUGGAAUGAAAACUAUGAAAGUCUCUGCAGAUUCUGAAAACGAACUAUUGAAACUCGCUCAAACAUUGUUCGAUACUAAGCUUCCUCCGGGGGUACAAGUCAUGACACCAUUUGCAGAUGAUUCUUCCCUCAAGAAAAUCUCUGUUCAAUCUUUCCCUGAAGAGCUUUUCUUUGUUCUCCGCACAGUGCAGCUAUUGAGAGGCCUCAGUGUGGGUAUGGGAAUCAACUAUUCCUGUUUAGAGCAGUGGAAGCCAAUAGCUGAAGAAGCAUUAGGUGAAGCAGGGUUUUUGGCCUUGAACAAGACUUGAUCGAGUCCGAGUGAGCCUGUUCAGACGAGGCUGAUUAACUUUCAUCGGGCCAGGCCCAAGUACCUGGCCAAGGAGGGAGAGAGAGAGAGAAAGACCGAGAGCAAGAGAGAGAAAGAGAAAUAGAAAUAGAGAGGGAGAACCAGAGGGAGAGUGAUGGAAUUUGGUGGUGGGUACAUGCUUGGAAUGAGGAGACCGGCCCCCUCUUCUGAACUCCUUCAUCGCCCUCACUCCAAGAUCCCAAAGCAAGACUCCCUCUCCAUUUACGAGGCCACUCUUGAGAAGCUCAGAGCUGGUUCUAGGAUUGCUUGGGCUCGUCCCCAACCCAUGGAAGGAGUGAAGAAAGAGACCACAAACAACUCCUUGGACGAGUAAUAAAUCCAUUGGGUAUGUCGAGCAACUCAGUGGAAACCAUUCUUGUUAAACUUCUGAUCCCCCAAUGGUUGGAAAAAAGAAAAAUGAAUUAAUUUAAGAAGGAAAGAAAGAUGUUUUAUGAAUUGUAUGUGUCAUCUGGUUGUGAUGUAUCCAAAUCAGAAACUCAAUGGAAGGAUGGCUGUGAAACAAUUUAAGCCUAAUUAUUAAAUUGCAAGAGAUCAGGGCUUUUUGUGUGCUUUUGAAA